rnacentral:tRNA from 2 species
GCGGAUGUGGUGAAAUGGUAGACACGCCACUUUGAGGGGGUGGUGGGCAUUAGCCCGUGGAAGUUCGACUCUUCUCAUCCGCA